GCUCCUGGUACAUCAGCCCAUUUCAUGGUACGUUGAAGCAUGCCUCCCUGUGGGAUUGCUGGAUUCCCAGCCCAGUGAGGUAAUGACCAAGCAGCGUCUUCAGAGGAAGGAUAGCUGUACAGCGUGGUGAAGGACUCAAUGAGAAGGUGCAUUGCCCAUCCUUCAGAGAGCUCUGUGUGAAUCCAUAAAAGGUGCUUAAAGCUUUUCACUCCAUGAAGCCUCAUCUGUCUCAUGAAAGCAAUAAAUAAGCUUCUCCAGCACCAGCCUUCCCCCAAACCAGAACAAGAGCAUUGAUCUACACCCAAGAGGAGCAGGAAUCAGCAGAAACACAAUGGAACAAACUGAUAUGCCAUCUAGUGGAAACACAGAAAGCCUCAAAUGAAAAUCUCAGCCAAAAUGAGGCCACUCAACCAGUGUCCAGUGAAUCAAGUUUCUGACAAAAGUCAGCUAAAUCAAACACCUCUGUGUUUCACCCUUUUUGAUGGCAACGCCUUAAAUGUGACUGCUGCUCAGAAAGCCAAGUAAAGAAAAUAUAAUGGGGCUGCUAUUGGCUCAUUCCGAAUCAGGCAUUUUCUCUCAGGUCAGCAUUUGGGAUCAGAAUUUUGAUUACAUAAUAUUGUCGAAGGCAACAGAAAAGGACCAUUGACUCACAGGGUGUUACAGCUGAUAAAGGACUUCAGAAUUAAUCAACAAACAUUGAGGCAACAUUAACUAAAGGUCAAGAACUAUUCUAACCACCUUAUAAAUAUUUAUUCACUUAAUUCUCACAGCAGCCCUAUAUAUAAGCACUAGCAUUAUCUCCACUUGACAGAUAAGGAAACUGAGGCAUGAAAAAGUUAAGAAAGGUGCUCAGGGACACACAGCUGAUAAGGCUUCGCACCCGUUUGGUUAGGCUCGGAAGCCACUGCACCAUGCCCAAGGUCACAGAGCAAGGAGUCCAAGCAGUAUUUCCCUUACUCAGAGAUAUGAAUAGCCAGAAACACUUAGGAUGUUUGGUUUUACAACCCACAACCUCCUCCCCCACCUUCGCCAAAAGAUAAACUAUUUUCUUUUUUUCUGGAACUUACCUAACAUAACAUAAUCUACAUAAAUCUACAAAAUAAUGUUGUUCAUGAGAAAGGCAUAUUCGAUUCAAGCUUAUCCACCUUA